UUUAUGGAGAGUUUGAUCCUGGCUCAGGAUGAACGCUGGCGGCGUGCCUAAUACAUGCAAGUCGAGCGAACGGACGAGAAGCUUGCUUCUCUGAUGUUAGCGGCGGACGGGUGAGUAACACGUGGAUAACCUACCUAUAAGACUGGGAUAACUUCGGGAAACCGGAGCUAAUACCGGAUAAUAUUUUGAACCGCAUGGUUCAAAAGUAAAAGACGGUCUUGCUGUCACUUAUAGAUGGAUCCGCGCUGCAUUAGCUAGUUGGUAAGGUAACGGCUUACCAAGGCAACGAUGCAUAGCCGACCUGAGAGGGUGAUCGGCCACACUGGAACUGAGAC
rnacentral:rRNA from 1 species